GAUGAACGCUGGCGGCGUGCCUAAUACAUGCAAGUCGAGCGAAUGGAUUAAGAGCUUGCUCUUAUGAAGUUAGCGGCGGACGGGUGAGUAACACGUGGGUAACCUGCCCAUAAGACUGGGAUAACUCCGGGAAACCGGGGCUAAUACCGGAUAACAUUUUGAACCGCAUGGUUCGAAAUUGAAAGGCGGCUUCGGCUGUCACUUAUGGAUGGAGACGCGUCGCAUUAGCUAGUUGGUGAGGUAACGGAUCACCAAGGCAACGAUGCGUAGCCGACCUGGAAGUGUGACCGUCCAAGCUGGGACUGUGACACGGCCCAGACUCCUACGGGAGGCAGCAGUAGGGAAUCUUCCGCAAUGGACGAAAGUCUGACGGAGCAACGCCGCGUGAGUGAUGAAGGCUUUCGGGUCGUAAAACUCUGUUGUUAGGGAAGAACAAGUGCUAGUUGAAUAAGCUGGCACCUUGACGGUACCUAACCAGAAAGCCACGGCUAACUACGUGCCAGCCGCCGCCGUAA
rnacentral:rRNA from 1 species